GCCAGGCGUGGCGGCACACACCUGUAAUCCCAACCACUUGGGAGGCUGAGGCAGGAGGAUUGCAAGUCCGAGGCCAGCCUGGCAAUUUAAUGAGACCCUGUCUCAA
rnacentral:sRNA from 1 species